rnacentral:rRNA from 1 species
AUGCAGUCGAACGAUGAUGCCCAGCUUGCUGGGCGGAUUAGUGGCGAACGGGUGAGUAAUACGUGAGUAACCUGCCCUUGACUCUGGGAUAAGCCUGGGAAACUGGGUCUAAUACUGGAUACUACCUCUUACCGCAUGGUGGGUGGUGGAAAGGGUUUUACUGGUUUUGGAUGGGCUCACGGCCUAUCAGCUUGUUGGUGGGGUAAUGGCUCACCAAGGCGACGACGGGUAGCCGGCCUGAGAGGGUGACCGGCCACACUGGGACUGAGACACGGCCCAGACUCCUACGGGAGGCAGCAGUGGGGAAUAUUGCACAAUGGGCGGAAGCCUGAUGCAGCGACGCCGCGUGAGGGAUGACGGCCUUCGGGUUGUAAACCUCUUUCAGUAGGGAAGAAGCGAGAGUGACGGUACCUGCAGAAGAAGCGCCGGCUAACUACGUGCCAGCAGCCGCGGUAAUACGUAGGGCGCAAGCGUUGUCCGGAAUUAUUGGGCGUAAAGAGCUCGUAGGCGGUUUGUCGCGUCUGCUGUGAAAGCCCGGGGCUCAACCCCGGGUCUGCAGUGGGUACGGGUAGACUAGAGUGCAGUAGGGGAGACUGGAAUUCCUGGUGUAGCGGUGAAAUGCGCAGAUAUCAGGAGGAACACCGAUGGCGAAGGCAGGUCUCUGGGCUGUUACUGACGCUGAGGAGCGAAAGCAUGGGGAGCGAACAGGAUUAGAUACCCUGGUAGUCCAUGCCGUAAACGUUGGGCACUAGGUGUG